rnacentral:lncRNA from 1 species
GCUUUCCUUUAAUGAAGACGUAUUCUCUCUCUGUUACAGCAAGGAAUACGUUUUCCAGAGGAGAAGAUCCUGGAGUACGCUUUCAGUUUUUCCGGCUAAGGGCCUGUUUGUGAUGAUUUUCAUUACAGAUAGGGCCCUGGCAGAAAACACUUCAUAUCUUUUUACUCACAACUCCAAAUGAGGUGAAUCCAAAGCCCACGUCUUCGUUUCAUCGAGCCCGUUCUGAUGGAACCAUUUUCACCAUGUUUUGACAUUCUGAAAAUGACCAUUUUGCCCCUGCCCUUAUUCAGCCCCCUCCGAGAGAGUACGUUUUCAGGCGAUCCUUUCCGCGAGUUUCUCGCACUUUCUCCCGAUGAUUUCUUCCGCCCCAGGCAAGCCACACCCUCCAUUGGCAUGAUUGCAAUGCAGUGACAUGGUUUCUUUAUUUAAACUUGUUUAAAAUAUUGUGUUAGCUACUUGUGAUUUGUUCAUGGCAUUUAUCGGAGUAUUAUAUUGAUCUUGUUAUUGCCAUGAUAUUUGCUUGGAGUUCUCGGAUUAAUAUUUUGAUCAUUAUAUCGAUGACAUGUGCCUUUGGAUUCUUAGUGGCUAUUAUAACCUUGUGUGCCCGUUGUUGUUGUUGUACCCGGGUUGUCCCUGUGUGGGACCGUUUAUUGUUUUGGCCACGACGGUGGUCGUUGUGUCUUUGGUAGACACGGGGCCACCCAGGACUAGCCCAGUGGGGAAUGAGUCGGAGUGGCCGGGAGAGUGUCAUGGCAGUAGAUCGGUUUUGUCGGAAUGCCAUUGGUCCACCCGAAUGGGAGUGCGAGGCCAUGGGUUCCGUGGUGUGGGUAAAGUGCGCUACCUCUGCAGAGUGUGUUUGUUUAAACUAUCGAUAGCCGCGUCCUCGGUCAUGGGCAUGGGUUCGUACUAGGUCACACCGUUCGAUCAACACUCACAUGACAGAAUAACUUAUAGGUGAUUUAUAUGUGGAUAUUUUGAGCAGUACAGAUUGGCAGGAUGUUGAUGAUGAUGUUGAGACCAAGUGUUGGUCAUGGUUGUGAUCGCCGGAAAGAUCACCGUUUGGUUUUGAUCACGAGGUGAUCGAGAUGGGAUAUUGCUUGGCCGGUUAGCCAAGAGAGAUAUGGUUAUGGAGAUCUGAGAUGGUGAUUUAUCAGUAUUGUAGUAGUUUCAUAUCAUGCUUAGUAGUUGAUGCCGUAUCAUGGUCGAUGUUAAUUUAAUUAACCUGUUUAAUACUAUGUUGUUGUUUUGCCUUAAUGCUUUUGGUUGUUGUGAGCUUGCAAGUACAUUCAAUGUACCGACCUGGCAUGUCAUGCCAGAUUGCAGGUGAUGCCGUGAUUGCUUGAUUGUUUGUUGAGGUGUCCGUUCAUGCGAGCUAGACCGUCUCCCAGCCAGAGUCCCUGCGGAGUGGAGUUCACCACCUUCGUCGUUGUUCCGCUGCUAGAAGUUUUCCGCUGCUACGAGUUGUUCCGCUGCUAGCAUAGAGCAAGUGUAGUAUCGCAGGCGUAGUGUCGCCAUGCUGAUGUGAUCAUUGUAACAUCAGACCCGUGUAAUUAUUAUUCUUGUAAUAAGAGCUGAUUU